AGAGUUUGAUCCUGGCUCAGGACGAACGCUGGCGGCGUGCCUAAUACAUGCAAGUCGAGGGAAUCGAUGGGAGCUUGCUCCCUGAGAUUAGCGGCGGACGGGUGAGUAACACGUGGGCAACCCGCCUAUAAGACUGGGAUAAAUUUGGGAAACCGGAGAUAAUACCCGAUACGUUCUUUUCUCGCAUGAGAGAAGAUGGAAAGACGGCCUUUAGCUGUCACUUAUAGAUGGGCCCGCGGCGCAUUAGCUAGUUGGUGAGGUAAUGGCUCACCAAGGCGACGAUGCGUAGCCGACCUGAGAGGGUGAUCGGCCACACUGGGACUGAGACACGGCCCAGACUCCUACGGGAGGCAGCAGUAGGGAAUCUUCCGCAAUGGACGAAAGUCUGACGGAGCAACGCCGCGUGAACGAAGAAGGCCUUCGGGUCGUAAAGUUCUGUUGUUAGGGAAGAACAAGUACCAGAGUAACUGCUGGUACCUUGACGGUACCUAACCAGAAAGCCACGGCUAACUACGUGCCAGCAGCCGCGGUAAUACGUAGGUGGCAAGCGUUGUCCGGAAUUAUUGGGCGUAAAGCGCGCGCAGGUGGUUCUUUAAGUCUGAUGUGAAAGCCCACGGCUCAACCGUGGAGGGUCAUUGGAAACUGGGGAACUUGAGUGCAGAAGAGGAAAGUGGAAUUCCAAGUGUAGCGGUGAAAUGCGUAGAGAUUUGGAGGAACACCAGUGGCGAAGGCGACUUUCUGGUCUGUAACUGACACUGAGGCGCGAAAGCGUGGGGAGCAAACAGGAUUAGAUACCCUGGUAGUCCACGCCGUAAACGAUGAGUGCUAAGUGUUAGAGGGUUUCCGCCCUUUAGUGCUGCAGCUAACGCAUAACCAUUCCGCCUGGGGAGUACGGCCGCAAGGCUGAAACUCAAAGGAAUUGACGG
rnacentral:rRNA from 1 species